AGUGAACGCUGGCGGUAGGCCUAACACAUGCAAGUCGAACGGCAGCACAGUAAGAGCUUGCUCUUACGGGUGGCGAGUGGCGGACGGGUGAGGAAUACAUCGGAAUCUACUUUUUCGUGGGGGAUAACGUAGGGAAACUUACGCUAAUACCGCAUACGACCUACGGGUGAAAGCAGGGGAUCUUCGGACCUUGCGCGAUUGAAUGAGCCGAUGUCGGAUUAGCUAGUUGGCGGGGUAAAGGCCCACCAAGGCGACGAUCCGUAGCUGGUCUGAGAGGAUGGACAGGCCCACUGGGACUGAGACACGGUCCAGACUCCUACGGGAGGCAGCAGUGGGGAAUAUUGGACAAUGGGCGCAAGCCUGAUCCAGCCAUACCGCGUGGGUGAAGAAGGCCUUCGGGUUGUAAAGCCCUUUUGUUGGGAAAGAAAAGCAGCAGGUUAAUACCCCGCUGUUCUGACGGUACCCAAAGAAUAAGCACCGGCUAACUUCGUG
rnacentral:rRNA from 1 species